ensembl:snRNA U1 U1 spliceosomal RNA
ACAAUUGCAGAUGAGAUUUGGGUGGGACACAGAGCCAAACCGUCUCAAUUGCACCCCGGAUGUGCUGACCCCUGUGAUUUCCCCAAGUGUGGGACACCCGGCUGCAUAAUUUGUGGUAGUGGGGUACUGCACUCAUGCUUUCCCCUG